CAACAUCAAAGAAGAAUUCCAUAUUUUUUUAAGUUGAAUUACAAUUUUUAUUGAUUUAUUUUCUUACACUCUUUGUGCGAUGGAUUUUUUUUUCUUUGUGUGUUGGAUUGCUGUUAGUAGAGCUUAAUUCUGCUUCUACAGAUGUCAUACACUGAUUCCUUUAUCUCUUUCCAUAUCCUAAGCAGUAACCUUCUGGACCUCGAAUAAUCCAAGUCACUUGUGAACCACAUCAUUCCCCUUAUAUCUGCUUUACCAAUUUUAUAUGGUGGAGUUUCUUAUUUUGAAUAUAUCAGAAGGUUUGCUCAAAAAAAAGAAUAUAUCAGAAGGUUUGAGGUCAGAACCCAUUAUGCUGCUGGAGCGUCCUCGUGUUGUGUCAGAACAAGUAGGCCAUGCUUGGGAUCUACCCGACAACAAAUUUGGAGCUGCAUAUGCAAGAGUCAUGGGACCUAGAAACUUCUCUCCCUUCCGCCCCUAAGAUUCAUGGAGACACAUGAGCUGGCUUACGUAGUAACACGGGCGGGCACGUAAAGUUCACGACUUGUGGCACACUCUCUUCACCCUCCCUACGAAUCUUAUAGGUGAGUCGGAUCUAAAAGUCACCGAGUUCGGCAACAAGAAGAGAACUUGCAAGUUUUUUUUCUUGAUUCAAACUAUUUGGAACACUUUUCAUCAGAACAUUACAAGAGAAACAGGACUGAGAUAGAUUGACAAGAAACCGACUUCUUAUCAUUAAAGGCUGGGCUCACAUCAAACAGUUUUUAUAGUGUGCGAAUGCAACAAGGAGACAAUGGAUACGCAUUUGCAUUACACAUAAUGUUUUUAUUAUACUUUACUUGCCACCAGUGAAAAGAUAAU